AGUAGUAGUAGUGGUAGUUAAUUACGUACUAGUCGAAACGCGAAAAACCUUACCUACCCUUGACAUGCCAGGACUUUCCAGAGAUGGAUUGGUGCCCGAAAGGGAACCUGGACACAGGUGCUGCAUGGCUGUCGUCAGCUCGUGUCGUGAGAUGUUGGGUUAAGUCCCGCAACGAGCGCAACCCUUGUCAUUAGUUGCCAUCAUUUAGUUGGGCACUCUAAUGAGACUGCCGGUGACAAACCGGAGGAAGGUGGGGAUGACGUCAAGUCCUCAUGGCCCUUAUGGGUAGGGCUUCACACGUCAUACAAUGGUCGGUACAGAGGGUUGCCAAGCCGCGAGGUGGAGCCAAUCCCAGAAAGCCGAUCGUAGUCCGGAUCGUAGUCUGCAACUCGACUACGUGAAGUCGGAAUCGCUAGUAAUCGCGGAUCAGCAUGUCGCGGUGAAUACGUUCCCGGGUCUUGUACACACC
rnacentral:rRNA from 1 species